rnacentral:rRNA from 1 species
CCCGCUGAACUUAAGCAUAUCAAUAAGCGGAGGAAAAGAAACUAACAAGGAUUCCCCUAGUAACGGCGAGUGAAGCGGGAUGAGCUCAAAUUUAAAAUCUGGUAGCCUUUGGUUGCCCGAGUUGGAAUCUAGAGAAGCGUCUUCCGCGCUGGACUGUGUACCAGUUUCCUGGAUACGGAACGUCAUAGAGGGUGAGAAUCCCGUCCUUGACACAGACUCCCAGUGCUUUGUGAUGCGCUCUCUACGAGACGAGUUGUUUGGGAUUGCAGCUCAAAAUGGGAGGUAAAUUCCUUCUAAAGCUAAAUAUAGGCGAGAGACCGAUAGCGAACAAGUACCGUGAGGGAAAGAUGAAAAGCACUUUGUGAAAGAGAGUUAAACAGUACGUGAAAUUGUUAAAAGGGAAACGAUUGAAGUCAGUCGCGUCUACUUGGACUCAGCCUUACCUCGGUUUGGUGCAUUUCCUUGUGGCACAGGGCCAGUGUCACAUGUUGCAUUGCUGGAAAAGGUUCAGGGGAAUGUGGCUCUUUUAGAGUGUUAUAUGCACUCUGUUCAUCAUACAGUAGUUGAUAUGGAGUGAUACAGCAUGCUUCGGCGCGUGCUUGUACUGGCAUAAUGGCUUUAAACGACCCGUCUUGAAACACGG